CUAGAUUCAAGCUCAGGACCAUGAAAACCGAUCCAGACCCAGUUUCCAAUGUCCUACCACUGGAUCGUUGUUCUAUCAAUCGGAUUAGUAGAAUUGAUGGAAAUAGGAAAAGAAGCCGGGGCAUCUAGUGGACAAACCGGUGUGGACGCACGUUUGAAGGGCUCACUUUAAAAGGUAAUUAGGAGGUCAUGGAUGGCGAUCAAGCGACAAGAUGAUGAACCGAACACUCUUUUUUGAAGCUUCCGCUAUGUUUGAACUUGUUAAUCAGUGUUCCUUUUGUUGUAAUCAAUUUCUUAAACAACAAUAUUACGUUCAACCUUUGUCUUAGUAGACUUAGGAUGUAAUAGUUUUGAAACUUAUGUUAAUUUAACGCCUUUUGGUAUAAAAUAGUAGAGUUAGGAUCCUGUAAAAAAAGGCCCAAAGUGUGAGAAAGAUAAGAAAGAAUAUCAGCCAUUAGAUCUUUUGAUCUAAUGGUUGAGAUCAAUAGGGA
rnacentral:lncRNA from 1 species